rnacentral:rRNA from 1 species
GUGGGGAAUCUUAGACAAUGGGCGCAAGCCUGAUCUAGCCAUGCCGCGUGAGUGAUGAAGGCCCUAGGGUUGUAAAGCUCUUUCAGCUGGGAAGAUAAUGACGGUACCAGCAGAAGAAGCCCCGGCUAACUCCGUGCCAGCAGCCGCGGUAAUACGGAGGGGGCUAGCGUUGUUCGGAAUUACUGGGCGUAAAGCGCGCGUAGGCGGACUGAAAAGUUGGGGGUGAAAUCCCGGGGCUCAACCUCGGAACUGCCUUCAAAACUAUCAGUCUGGAGUUCGAGAGAGGUGAGUGGAAUUCCGAGUGUAGAGGUGACAUUCGUAGAUAUUCGGAGGAACACCAGUGGCGAAGGCGGCUCACUGGCUCGAUACUGACGCUGAGGUGCGAAAGCGUGGGGAGCAAACAGGAUUAGAAACCCUAGUAGUCC